rnacentral:rRNA from 1 species
GUGCAGCAGGCGCGAAAACUUCACAAUGUGCGAAAGCACGAUGAGGGAAUCCCAAGUGCUUGCACGUAAGUGUAAGCUGUUUCUCUGUCUAAAACGCAGAGAGAGUAAGGGCUGGGUAAGACGGGUGCCAGCCGUCGCGGUAAUACCUGCAGCUCGAGUGGUGACCGUUAUUAUUGGGCCUAAAACGUCCGUAGCCGGUUUAAUAAAUGCCUGGGUAAAUCGGACCGCUUAACGGUUCGAAUUCCGGGUAGACUGUUAAACUUGAGACCGGGAGAAGUUAGAGGUACUCCUGGGGUAGAGGUGAAAUUCUGUAAUCCUAGGGGGACCACCAGUGGCGAAGGCGUCUAACUAGAACGGGUCUGACGGUGAGGGACGAAGCCCUGGGGCGCAAAAC